UUCCUCCCCCACUCACACUCUGUCUGUCUCUGAAAAACGAAUAAAGAUUUUUUUUUUAAUUUUUAAAAAGAGUUUAAGAAAAAAAUUUAAAACUGCAUAAAUGACUUGCAUUAUAUUUCUAUUGGAUAGUGCUUGGCAGAGGACAACAAAUAAUUAGAUUGAGUUUUCCUACCAGAGUGGCUGGUGAUCUUGGCCUUGGUCAGAUAUUUCAUUAAUUGAGCACCUAUUCUGAGCUAGGGACAAUGGAGCAACUGAAUCAUAAAUGAGCAUAUAAACAAACACUGUAAAUAAUAUAAUUACAAAUAAUUCUCUUGAGUACAAGGAAAAACAUAUAUGCAGUAAUGAAUGAGGCCAAGAGAUUGAGGUAGUUUCCUUAAAUGAGAAAGCAGGCAGAGGAGGCUUCCAAGAGGAGGGACAUUUGAAUUAAGAUUUGAAGGGUAAAUACGAACUAGAAGUGCAACAAUCUUGAUGAGUGGAACAUUUUAUAGGAAUAUUAAAUGAUUGUACUCAACGUCAGACAGUCACUCAAGAGUCAGACUGGGAUUAUACACUCACAUUUGUCAGCCCCCAGAGUCUGUGAUCUUAACCAUUUGUGAGAAAUGAUGCUUUCUCCUCUGGUGAUAAUAUGGCCCUAGUCUUCUAAAAGGGCAAAAUUAUUGCCACUGACUCACUUCCCUUUUCCUGACUUAUUGUAUAGAACCUAUCUCGUUAUGUUAUGAAUGUGGCAUUCCCCAGUUAGGUUCCUAAGGGCGGGAAUCCAUAGACAUAGACGUGUGAUGUCUUGGAGGAAAGCAUCCUUUUCUACUCUUUUUAGUAUUUUGAUCUUCUCUGACAAGGAUAAAUUACAAAGAUUGCAGAAAUGGUGGAAAUUAUUUCUGAGGAAAGGAGUUAAACAGGUGUUUCUUUCUAAAGCUAUGACUUAAUGGGGUCAGGCUAACAAGCUUGAGGAAAUAGAAAUGACCUAGUGGGAAAACAAAGGUAAUUCUGAGAGAAGGACAGUGUGGAUUUUGGAGCAGGGGACCAACCAGCACUACAGUCCCAUGGGGAGUUAUUAGACCUGGAAGAGCAGCCAUCACUUGAGGCUUUUAUAGACUGAAAAAUUGAUGUAAUCUGCUGCAUUGGGUUACAGAAUUUAUAGGCAAAACUGAUGAGGAGCACCAUCUUUUUCUCAGACUUGAGUCUCCAGGAUUUCUUUUGAAAUUCCAGAGAGUGCUGUGAAAUUACAAAUGUAUGGUAUGGAACCAUUUACACUACAGAUCUUGCUUGAUGUUUUUUUAAUGCCAUGGCUAAAAACCCAGAAAUCUGGUUAGGCUUUGCUUUACUUCACAAAAGAAAAGGACUAAAGAAAAUCUUUAUAGGUACAAAAACAAAUAUGGAGGAAGAUGACCCCAGUGCUGUGUGCAAAAGCAUGGAGGAGGAUAUUGAGAUUCAUAAGUUUGGGGAAAGAUCAACAUAGCUGUGUCAAAAGAAUAAUUCAAGUUUAAAAAAAAAACCUCAUUUUUGUGUAAUAAAAGAAAUUCUAUAUCUAGCUGCGAUCUCUCCCCUGGCCCUAGGUUUAUAGAUCCAAUUGCCCACUUGGUAUACAACCACCAAUAGAAAGAAAAUCUCAUGGUCAUCCCAAAUGGAACAUGGCAACAAUAGAACUUUGGGGUUCUAUAUGUAGUUUUUUUCUCACCUAGGGAAAUUAGCACUAUUUAAUUGCUUAAGCCAUACCCUCCAAUAUCCAUUCUGUCAUCAAAUCUAGUUAAUUCUACUUCCAAAAUGUAUUUAGAAGUUCUUUACUUUUUUCCAUCUCUAAAAUCAUUCCCCUUUAGUCCAAGCUGCCAUCAUUCCGUAUGGCAGCAAGAGCCUUUGAGCAGGUGUCUUGGCUUUUAUUCUUGCUUCCCAAUUUGUUGUUCAGGUGGCAAUCACAAGCCAACCUAGAUCCAAGGUAACAUGGACCAUUAAGCAAUCAGUGAAAGGAGUGUCAAAGAAUUUGUGGCCAUUUUUUUUUAACUGCCACACUGACUCUUACAGAAAUUGGUACCCCUUGUAAAGUACUUCCUUUGGCAUUUCCACUGCUUCUGGUCACAGGCCUUGCCCAAUAUGAAAAAAGUCCACACCAAUGGCAUCUUUCCACAAAGUCAGUUUUUUUUUGCAUGGUUUACCUACCUACAAGAACUCAGCGAGCCUAUCUGUUUAGACUUUGAGGUGGUUAAUUCCGAGCAGCCCCUUACCUCUGUGUUAUUAGCUCUUCAGUUAGUCUUUGGCAAAUUAUUUAGUCUCUGUAGGUCUCCGUUUCCUCAUGAAUUAAGGGUCCUUAUAUCUCAUCAUCUCUAAGUGCUUUGCAGUUCAGCCAACAAAGUUAGAGUUUAGUCACUGACCAUGCUCACAGACUAUGGAUAUGAAGCUAAUCAUAAGUUUUUAGUUGCACUAAUUAUAAGAGAUCAUUUCAUCUUUUGAUCAUGGAACAUGAUGCAAGUCUUCUGAGGAUUUGGGCUGUCUUGCCAUCCUUCCUCCGUAGCAUCCCUAAAUCAUUCAAACCAACUCUAGAUAGUAUGAUGAUUUCUACAGGCAAUUUUAUAAAAACUACUUUCUCUUUUUGCCCCAGCCAAUUUGUCCCCAUUCUGGUUUUCCCAGCAAGCCCCUGUCUAAUUUGGCCUUUUUUUUUCCUGCAGUCUUUUCUUUCUAACUGCUCUAAGUUUUUUCUUCAGUUGUCUUAUUCAGAAGAGGCUUCUUUUUGUUACCAUAAAUUCAUAACAAAAAAUAUUUUCUCCUCUAUUUGUAUUUGUUUUGCUCUUGUAUUAAAAGUACAAUGCAUGUUGAAACAGAGAACUAACUUACUUUUACAUUUGGGGGUUCGUUUAAGCCAGGGUAAAAGACAAAAUAUUUUUUUUGCAGCAUUAUUCAGAUGAAAGUUUUUAAAAUCCAUUGUGAUUGAAUUACAUAUAAGGAGAAAAUAUUUAUUUUCUUUAUCCUCAAGCCUCUUUUUCUAAAUUUUGGUUCUGAAAUAUACAUGAAUAUAUCACAUAUACGUAAAUAAAUGUAACAAAAGUGAGUUCUUAUGAAAAGACAUUUAGUAUGUUUAGUCAAACUAAAUAGCUAUCAGGUUCAAGAGGGUUGAGGUAGCUUAAAAAAACCUUUUUAUUGCAGUAUAACAUAUACAUGGAAGAUUACACAAAUAAUAAGUGUAUGAUUUGAGGAACUUUUCACAAACUAAAAAUAUCCAUGUAACCAGCCAAAGGAUAGACUUUUAUCUUGCUAAAGGAUUCUCAGUGGUGGGCUCUUGAGAAACUCCCGUAUAAUUGUCGUACAUUGUUAUUAACUUUAUGUAAGCAUGAGGCUCUUCCCUCCAACUAAAUUAUACAUUCAACAUGGUUUCUACAGUGGGACCAUAGUUUAUACCUCAUUUUUUCUACCACAGAGCUAGCUAAAUGCCCUGAACUGAGGACACCUUCAAUAAAUGAAUAUGAGCUAUAUUCAGACUCAGUUUAUUAAACAUUAAUACAAACCAAUUUCUUCUUUAUAUGCUUCUAUUUCCUACUUCACCUUCUAGAUCACUGACCUUCUCAGUCUUUUUGCUGGCCCCAACCUCAUCGGCCAAAUGGAAUUUCUUGAGACUCUUCUUCAUCUUUCUUUCACUCUGAACUCAACUGUUUCCACGUUUUUAACUAAUAUCUAUGUGCUGAAGACUCUCAAAUUAUAACCUAUAAUAUAGUGAAUUAAUGGCAGUGAUGGCCCAGUUAAUAGCCUCUUGAAAGCCCUACCCCUUUGCAAUGUGACUUUGCAACUGCUCCCAUCAUGAGGUAGAGUCUUUUUUUCCACCCACUGAAUUGGGCUGGCCUUGUAUCUCUCCUUGGUAAAUAGAAUACUGGGGAAGUGAUGGUAUACCAAUUGUGAGUUUAAGUCUCUCUCUCUUUUUUUUUUUUAUUCUUUAUAUAUGUUUGAGAGAGAGACAGAGAAACAGAACAUGAGUGAUGGAGGAACAGAGAGAGAAGGAGACACAGAAUCCAAGCAGACUCCAGCACAGAGCCCAAUGCAGGGCUUGAACCCAUGAAUGGUGAGAUCAUGACCUGAACUGAAGUUGGAUGCUUAACCGACUAAGCCAGCCAGGUGCCCCUAAGGCUUUUCUUACUCUUGGAACCUUCUCUCUAUUAUAUGAGUAAGCCCAAGGCAGCCCAUUAAAGAAUGAAAAACCAUGGAGAUCAUUACACCAACUGACAAUCAACCAACCCCUAGAAGCAAACCACCUAGCCAACUUGCAGCUGACUGCCAAUCCAUUAGGGAACCCAAGUAAGACCAAAUAAGAUGCCCAGCUUAACCCAGGUUGCUGGGAGUUCCCUGAAAGAGGGACCUUGUGUAAUUCCCCUCUAUACCCUCAGCGCUCAGCACAGUGGAUGGCACCUACUAAGGAUUGGAGAUCCUGAACAAAUCAGAAAAGAGGAUGUAUUCCCAACUGCUUUGUCUUGAUGUUGGUGGUAUUGAGUAGGAAGUCGGAUGGACAAGCUGAAGUUUAAAAGAUAAAUCAGGGCUGAAUACAGUGCAAAAGUUUUCAUGGUGGAGAGUCAGAACACAUUACAUGGACAAAUGGAGCUCCCAGAGGGCUUGUGUGGAGCUCAGGAAAAUGUACAGCUUAAUCUGCUGGGCGCCACAAUUCUGCUGCUUCAACUCAUUUGCUAUGGAAAAUGAGGAGUCAACAAACAAGGGAGAGAAACAGAGAUGGGGGCACUUCAUAGAGCACUUUAAGAAAUGGAAUGAGCAGUACAGAGUGUCAAGUGAAGGCAGAAGUUAAGAAAGAUGGGAAGUCCAUUGGAAAUGACCAGGAGAUCAUUGACAUUACCUGCUGAGAUAUUAAACUGAAUAAAUGCUCUGGUGUUAGGUAGCAGAAUUGUGCUGUCUUUCAUGGCCAAAACCAAUCGAAUAGUUCCAGAUAUCCUUUGUACAUUUCCAGACAUAUCCUGAAUUAUUCACCUUAACCCAUCUCACCCUGAUUUUCACUGCCUGAGUUCCUGGCUCCUUGUUUGUUUGUUUAUUUAUUUGUUUGUUUGUUUGUUUAUUUAUUUA